rnacentral:rRNA from 1 species
AGAGGGUGCGAGCGUUAAUCGGGAUUUACUGGGGCGUAAAGCGUGCGUAGGCGGCUUCUUAAGUCGGAUGUGAAAUCCCUGAGCUUAACUUAGGGAAUUGCAUUCGAUACUGGGAAGCUAGAGUAUGGGAGAGGAUGGUAGAAUUCCAGGUGUAGCGGUGAAAUGCGUAGAGAUCUGGAGGAAUACCGAUGGCGAAGGCAGCCAUCUGGCCUAAUACUGACGCUGAGGUACGAAAGCAUGGGGAGCAAACAGGAUUAGAUACCCUGGUAGUCCAUGCCGUAAACGAUGUCUACUAGCCGUUGGGGCCUUUGAGGCUUUAGAGGCGCAGCUAACGCGAUAAGUAGACCGCCUGGGGAGUACGGUCGCAAGACUA